rnacentral:rRNA from 1 species
AGCGAACGCUGGCGGCAGGCCUAACACAUGCAAGUCGAGCGCCGUAGCAAUGCGGAGCGGCAGACGGGAGAGUAACACGUGGGAACGUACCCUUUGGUUCGGAACAACCCAGGGAAACUUGGGCUAAUACCGGAUAAGCCCUCACGGGGAAAGAUUCAUCGCCGAAGGAUCGGCCCGCGUCUGAUUAGCUAGUUGGUGGGGUAAUGGCCCACCAAGGCGACGAUCAGCAGCUGGUCUGAGAGGAUGAUCAGCCUCACUGGGACUGAGACACGGCCCAGACUCCUACGGGAGGCAGCAGUGGGGAAUAUUGGACAAUGGGCGCAAGCCUGAUCCAGCCAUGCCGCGUGGGUGAUGAAGGCCCUAGGGUUGUAAAGCCCUUUCGGCGGGGAAGAUAAUGACGGUACCCGCAGAAGAAGCCCCGGCUAACUUCGUGCCAGCCGCCGCAGUAACAC